rnacentral:rRNA from 1 species
UAGGGAAUAUUGGUCAAUGGAUGCAAGUCUGAACCAGCCAUGCCGCGUGCAGGAAGAAGGCCUUCUGGGUUGUAAACUGCUUUUGUCAGGGGAUAAAAUUUCCUUGCGAGGAAAAUUGAAGGUACCUGGCGAAUAAGCCACGGCUAACUACGUGCCAGCAGCCGCGGUAAUACGUAGGUGGCAAGCGUUGUCCGGAUUUAUUGGGUUUAAAGGGUGCGUAGGCGGCCUUAUAAGUCAGUGCUGAAAUAUCCCGGCUUAACCGGGAGGGUGGCAUUGAUACUGUAGGGCUUGAGUCGAGUUGAGGUUGGCGGAAUUGACGGUGUAGCGGUGAAAUGCUUAGAUAUCGUCAAGAACACCGAUAGUGAAGACAGCUAACUAAGCUCAAACUGACGCUGAGGCACGAAAGUGUGGGGAUCAAACA